AUUGAACGCUGGCGGCAUGCUUUACACAUGCAAGUCGAACGGUAACAGGUUAAGCUGACGAGUGGCGAACGGGUGAGUAAUGCAUCGGAACGUGCCCGGUCGUGGGGGAUAACGCAGCGAAAGCUGCGCUAAUACCGCAUACGAUCUGAGGAUGAAAGCGGGGGACCGUAAGGCCUCGCGCGAUCGGAGCGGCCGAUGUCAGAUUAGGUAGUUGGUGGGGUAAAGGCUCACCAAGCCAACGAUCUGUAGCUGGUCUGAGAGGACGACCAGCCACACUGGGACUGAGACACGGCCCAGACUCCUACGGGAGGCAGCAGUGGGGAAUUUUGGACAAGGGGCGAUAGCCUGAUCCAGCAAUGCCGCGUGCAGGAAGAAGGCCUUCGGGUUGUAAACUGCUUUUGUACGGAGCGAAAAGGUCUCCUCUAAUACAGGGGGCUCAUGACGGUACCGUAAGAAUAAGCACCGGCUAACUACGUGCCAGCCGCCGCAGUAA
rnacentral:rRNA from 1 species